rnacentral:rRNA from 1 species
CAACUUGAGAGUUUGAUCCUGGCUCAGAGCGAACGCUGGCGGCAGGCCUAACACAUGCAAGUCGAGCGCCCCGCAAGGGGAGCGGCAGACGGGAGAGUAACACGUGGGAACGUACCCUUUGGUUCGGAACAACCCAGGGAAACUUGGGCUAAUACCGGAUAAGCCCUUACGGGGAAAGAUUCAUCGCCGAAGGAUCGGCCCG